UGGGGAAUAUUGCACAAUGGGCGAAAGCCUGAUGCAGCGACGCCGCGUGCGGGAUGAAGGCCUUCGGGUUGUAAACCGCUUUUAAUUGGGAGCAAGCGAGAGUGAGUGUACCUUUUUGAAUAAGCACCGGCUAACUACGUGCCAGCAGCCGCGGUAAUACGUAGGGUGCAAGCGUUAUCCGGAAUUAUUGGGCGUAAAGAGCUCGUAGGCGGUUUGUCACGCCUGGUGUGAAAGUC
rnacentral:rRNA from 1 species